GGAGAAUCGGUGGGUUAAAUCUGACUGGAAGAAAGAUGAAAACUUGGCUGGGAAAAUCGGUGGGUUAAAUCUGACUGGAAGAAAGAUGAAAACUUGGCUGGGGAGUGGAACUUUACUUCUGGUAAAUGGAAUGGAGAUGCUGAGGAUAAAGAAGCAACACCUAAGACAAUUAUGAGAACAAUGGGGGUAAAAGGUCUUGCCCUUUAUCACUUGAAAUCACAUCUUUUGUUGUUUCCAAUUUUUUUGUAUGCAUAUAAUUUGAUAUUGUUCUCUAGUUUUGUUUGUUUGACAUGCUCAAUUGUCAAACCUCUUUCCCAUGACCCUACCUAUUCACAAGCACAAAGGAAAAUAUGAGAAAAAGAAAAGACUCCUUGAGAUUUCGUGCUGGAAGGGGUUGAACAUUUGAAUACCAAUUUGAACCAUUCUUUUUCAGUUUCAUUCUGUUGAUUUGUAACUAGCUUUGCUCAUUUGCUGACUCUAUAGAUAACAAUCUUUAAUGUAUUCACAGGCAUAGUAUUUGGUGUCUCAUUUUUGCAGAAAUGUCGUUUGGGGAAGCAAUCUUGCAAGGAGUUACCUGACAGCUCUAAAGAUGGUAUCAACCUUGUUCUCACUAUAAUGCUUAGUAGUUUGUACAUUGCGUUAUUGAUAAACCAUAUGAAAUUUAGCCCAUCUACUACAUUUGUAUGUUGAAUUUAAGGUGAUCUUCAAAUCAAGCUAAUAAAAAUAAGUUAGAACUACUUGAAAAUUUAAAUGCACACAAAUGUGACAGCACAGAAAUCCACCCAAAAUCCACACAAAUGUGAUUAGUCGGACUUUAUCUUUUGUAAGGCUAGAACAAUCUCUACAAAUAAUUAGUUUAUUCAUAUGUUUCUAGUGGUGUCUGAAUUAAUUUGUGUUUUUAUUUUUCAGGUUAGAAAUUUCUUGGAGAGAUGCAAAAUAUGGUCAAAGAAUUCAAUGACUUAAUUUUUCAAGUUUUUUUUUUUUUUAAUAUAUGUAAGCACAGUUUAAAAUUUUUUAUUUAAUUUCUUUGUAUAUACUUUUGAACAUAUUUAACUUUCAUUUAUGAAAUAUAUGACGUUAUUUCAUUGAAUAUGUGGUUAUGAUUUAAAGUAUAAUAUAU